rnacentral:rRNA from 1 species
UACAGAGGGUGCGAGCGUUAAUCGGAAUUACUGGGCGUAAAGCGUGCGUAGGCGGUUUUGUAAGUCUGAGGUGAAAUCCCCGGGCUUAACCUGGGAAUUGCGUUGGAGACUGCAAGGCUGGAGUCUGGCAGAGGGGGGUAGAAUUCCGCGUGUAGCAGUGAAAUGCGUAGAGAUGUGGAGGAACACCGAUGGCGAAGGCAGCCCCCUGGGUCAAGACUGACGCUCAGGCACGAAAGCGUGGGGAGCAAACAGG